UACGUAGGUGGCAAGCGUUGUCCGGAUUUACUGGGCGUAAAGGGCGUACAGGCGGUUUGGUAAGUUCAGGGUGAAAGCUCCCGGCUCAACUGGGAGAGGUCCUUGGAUACUGGCAGACUUGAGGAGGGUAGAGGAGAGUGGAAUUCCCGGUGUAGUGGUGAUAUGCGUAGAUAUCGGGAGGAACACCAGUGGCGAAGGCGGCUCUCUGGGCCUUACCUGACGCUGAGACGCGAAAGCGUGGGGAGCGAACCGG
rnacentral:rRNA from 1 species